rnacentral:rRNA from 1 species
GACGAACGCUGGCGGCGUGCUUAACACAUGCAAGUCGAACGGAAAGGCCCUGCUUUUGUGGGGCGCUCGAGUGGCGAACGGGUGAGUAACACGUGAGUAACCUGCCCUUGACUUUGGGAUAACUUCAGGAAACUGGGGCUAAUACCGGAUAGGAGCUCCUGCUGCAUGGUGGGGGUUGGAAAGUUUCGGCGGUUGGGGAUGGACUCGCGGCUUAUCAGCUUGUUGGUGGGGUAGUGGCUUACCAAGGCUUUGACGGGUAGCCGGCCGGGGAGGGUGACCGGCCACAUUGGGACUGAGAUACGGCCCAGACUCCUACGGGAGGCAGCAGUGGGGAAUAUUGCACAAUGGGCGGAAGCCUGAUGCAGCAACGCCGCGUGCGGGAUGACGGCCUUCGGGUUGUAAACCGCUUUCGCCUGUGACGAAGCGUGAGUGACGGUAAUGGGUAAAGAAGCACCGGCUAACUACGUG